rnacentral:pre_miRNA from 1 species
UGAAAAGUGUAUGCGUGGAUGAAGUUGGUUCCGCCCCCCCUACGGGGGGGCUCCACUUCCGGAAGAUAUAACCUAACUCAAACCUAUUUAUAAUUUAAAACUAAAAUUUGGUUUGGGUUAGAUUAUAUCUUCUGGAAGUGGAGCCCCCCCCGUAGGGGGCGCGGAACCCACUGCGUCCACGCAUAUACUUUACA